rfam:Apaloderma vittatum contig77157, whole genome shotgun sequence.
AGAUGGUUGGCUCAGUCAGUUGAGCGUGGCGCUGACAACGCCAAGGCCACGGGUUCGAUUCCCAUUCGGUCCC